GACGAACGCUGGCGGCGUGCCUAAUACAUGCAAGUCGAGCGCAGGAAACUGACGGAACUCUUCGGAGGGAAGGCAGUGGAAUGAGCGGCGGACGGGUGAGUAACACGUAAGGAACCUGCCUCAAGGAUUGGGAUAACUCCGAGAAAUCGGAGCUAAUACCGGAUAGUUCAACGGACCGCAUGGUCCGCUGAUGAAAGGCGCUCCGGCGUCACCUUGAGAUGGCCUUGCGGUGCAUUAGCUAGUUGGUGGGGUAACGGCCCACCAAGGCGACGAUGCAUAGCCGACCUGAGAGGGUGGUCGGCAACACGGGGCCUGGGACACGGCCCAGACUCCGACGGGAGGCAGCAGUAGGGAAUCUUCCACAAUGGACGAAAGUCUGAUGGAGCAACGCCGCGUGAGUGAUGAAGGUUUUCGGAUCGUAAAGCUCUGUUGUAAGGGAAGAACACGUACGAGAGGGAAUGCUCGUACCUUGACGGUACCUUACGAGAAAGCCACGGCUAACUACGUGCCAGCAGCCGCCGUAACAC
rnacentral:rRNA from 1 species